rnacentral:rRNA from 1 species
AGUGAACGCUGGCGGUAGGCCUAACACAUGCCAGUCGAACGGCAGCACAGUAAGAGCUUGCACUUACGGGUGGCGAGUGGCGGACGGGUGAGGAAUACAUCGGAAUCUACUUUUUCGUGGGGGAUAACGUAGGGAAACUUACGCUAAUACCGCAUACGACCUACGGGUGAAAGCAGGGGAUCUUCGGACCUUGCGCGAUUGAAUGAGCCGAUGUCGGAUUAGCUAGUUGGCGGGGUAAAGGCCCACCAAGGCGACGAUCCGUAGCUGGUCUGAGAGGAUGAUCAGCCACACUGGAACUGAGACACGGUCCAGACUCCUACGGGAGGCAGCAGUGGGGAAUAUUGGACAAUGGGCGCAAGCCUGAUCCAGCCAUACCGCGUGGGUGAAGAAGGCCUUCGGGUUGUAAAGCCCUUUUGUUGGGAAAGAAAAGCAGCAGGUUAAUACCCCGCUGUUCUGACGGUACCCAAAGAAUAAGCACCGGCUAACUUCGUG